rnacentral:rRNA from 1 species
GACGAACGCUGGCGGCGUGCUUAACACAUGCAAGUCGAACGGUAAGGCCCUUCGGGGUACACGAGUGGCGAACGGGUGAGUAACACGUGGGUGAUCUGCCCUGCACUUCGGGAUAAGCCUGGGAAACUGGGUCUAAUACCGGAUAGGACCACUGCCUGCAUGGGUGGUGGUGGAAAGCUUUUGCGGUGUGGGAUGGGCCCGCGGCCUAUCAGCUUGUUGGUGGGGUGAUGGCCUACCAAGGCGACGACGGGUAGCCGGCCUGAGAGGGUGACCGGCCACACUGGGACUGAGAUACGGCCCAGACUCCAACGGGAGGCAGGAGUGGGGAAUAUUGCACAAUGGGCGCAAGCCUGAUGCAGCGACGCCGCGUGAGGGAUGACGGCCUUCGGGUUGUAAACCUCUUUCAGCACCGACGAAGCGCAAGUGACGGUAGGUGCAGAAGAAGGACCGGCCAACUACGUGCCAGCCGCCGCAGUAA